UACAGAGGGGGCAAGCGUUAUUCGGAAUUAUUGGGCGUAAAGGGCGCGUAGGCGGCUUGGCAAGUGGAUGGUGAAAUCCCUCGGCUUAACUGAGGAAGUGCACCCGAAACUGAGUAGCUAGAGUACUAAAGAGGGUCGCGGAAUUCCCGGUGUAGAGGUGAAAUUCGUAGAUAUCGGGAGGAACACCAGUGGCGAAGGCGACUACCUGGCCCAUUCUUGACGCUGAGGCGCGAAAGCUAAGGGGAGCGAACGGGG
rnacentral:rRNA from 1 species